UGGGGAAUUUUGGACAAUGGGGGAAACCCUGAUCCAGCCAUCCCGCGUGUGCGAUGAAGGCCUUCGGGUUGUAAAGCACUUUUGGCAGGAAAGAAACGUCAUGGGUUAAUACCCCGUGAAACUGACGGUACCUGCAGAAUAAGCACCGGCUAACUACGUGCCAGCAGCCGCGGUAAUACGUAGGGUGCAAGCGUUAAUCGGAAUUACUGGGCGUAAAGCGUGCGCAGGCGGUUCGGAAAGAAAGAUGUGAAAUCCCAGAGCUCAACUUUGGAACUGCAUUUUUAACUACCGGGCUAGAGUGUGUCAGAGGGAGGUAGCAUUCCGCGUGUAGCAGUGAAAUGCGUAGAUAUGCGGAGGAACACCGAUGGCGAAGGCAGCCUCCUGGGAUAACACUGACGCUCAUGCACGAAAGCGUGGGGAGCAAACAGG
rnacentral:rRNA from 1 species